UCAUAUUUUAUAUUAUUUUAGUGUAAGUAUUUCCCACAUUAAAUCCUGCCGAACUCGCGCUAAAUGCCGUAGCCUAAAUGAAUGUGCGGGUCAGGAACCUCGUCGAUAGCUUAUUUGCUUUUGAGUAGCAUUUGCUGCCCACUUGUCCUUGAGCUUUACCUUUGUGUUGUUCUAACCUUGAGGCUGGAAUGUUUCAGAUGGUCCACCGGGGUCCCCGUCCGCAGCACGGAGCGGCGCUUGCGUGUUAUCGUAAACACGCACGCCAGAGACAUUCUGGAAACAUUUUUUCUCCCACUCGUAAUCGUUUAACCUGCAAUUAUGGAAACAAUAGAGGCUUCAGUGGAUGCAAGCUGUCACACUCAGGACUUCCCAAAAUAAAGGUGGCAGAGGUCAGGGGUCACCAAUGGCAAACACUCCGGCUCCACGCUCACUGCACUCCAGACACUCUUGGCUCCAAGAACAAAACACAAAUACCUAAGGGUUCUGAGGGUUGGGGGGUUCUGAACAUAUAGAGCACAACAAGGAGCAGCUGAUGGAUUCUCAAUGAUAAUCACACCUGAUUAAUGCCCAGUGACACGCAACGAUCAUUGAUCACUGUGACACCAGUCGUAAUUCAAAACCCAGAGUCCGAAAACUUUCGCUUGCCACAUUGUUCUUUUUAGUCGACUGCUUGCGAAUGAUUUGAUGCUUGAUAUUGCCCAUAUGUGCAGCAAGAGCUAUUAUUCUUACAUACCUCUUGAAUACAUGUGACAAGAAAUAAAUAAAGAAGCCUUUAUUAUGA